rnacentral:rRNA from 1 species
UAGAAUAAAAUUGUUAUUUUUUAUAGUUAAUUGAUUAUUUAAUAAAAAUAAUUUUAAUUAAAUUUAUUUAUGUAUAUUUUAUAGAUAAAAUAAUUUUUACAAUAGUUUAAUAGUAUAGUAAUAGAAUAUUGAAAUAUAAAUAAUUAAUAAUAAAGUAAUUUUUAUUUAAUGUACCUUUUGUAUCAGGGUUUAUCAAAAAUAAUUUAAAAAUUUUAAUUAUCUCGAAUUUAAAAGAGCUAAAAUAAUAUGAAAUUUAUUGUGUUAAAACUAUUUUAAAUAUUAUUUUUGUAAUGAAAAGUUAUUCGUUUUUAAAUAUAUCUAGUUUUUUAAGAAAUGAAUUUAAUUCAUUAUUAAAUUAAUAUUAAGUUAAUUAUUUAAUUUAAUAUAAUUUAAUAAAAAAUUUUUUGGGGAUAAGCUUAAAAAAUAUUAAUUAUAAAUUAAAUUUAUUAAAUAAAAUAUAUAGGAUUAGAAAUUUUCAUUAUUUAUAAAAGUGUUAUAAUUUAUUUAAUUAAAUAAUUUAUUUAUAAAAUUUUAAUUUUUUUAUUAAAAUAUUUAUUAUAAUAAUAAUAAUAAAGUAAUAAUGAUAAAAUUAGUAUUAAUUUAUUUAAAGAUAAAAAUUAAUUAUAGAUAAUUAUAAGGAAUUCAGCAAAUAAAAUAUUCACCUGUUUAUCAAAAACAUGUCUUUUUGAGUAUAAUUUAAAGUCUAACCUGCCCACUGAAAUUAAUUUAAAGGGCCGCGGUAUACUGACUGUGCAAAGGUAGCAUAAUCAUUUGUCUUUUAAUUGAAGGCUGGAAUGAAUGGUUGAAUGAAAUAUUAACUGUCUCAUUAUUAAAAAUUUAAUAAUUUAGCUUUUAAGUCAAAAGGCUUAAAUAAAAUUAAAGGACGAGAAGACCCUAUAGAUCUUUAUAUUUAUUAAAUUUUUAUAAAUUAGUAAAAUAUUUAAUAAAAAUUUAUAUAAUAUUUUAUUGGGGUGAUAGGAAAAUUUAAUAAACUUUUUAUAUUUAAUAUACAAUGAUUUUUGAAUAAUUGAUCCAUUUUUAGUGAUUAAAAGAUUAAGUUACCUUAGGGAUAACAGCGUAAUUUUUUUUGAGAGUUCAUAUCGAUAAAAAAGAUUGCGACCUCGAUGUUGAAUUAAAGGUUAUUUCUAGAUGUAGAAGUUUAGAGUUUAGGUCUGUUCGACCUUUGAAUCUUUACAUGAUUUGAGUUCAGACCGGCGUAAGCCAGGUCGGUUUCUAUCCUUAAUUAAAUAUAAUAUUUUAGUACGAAAGGACCAAAUAUUUUAAUUAUAUUAUUUAUAUUGAAUAAUAUU